UACAGCCAUAACACAUUGAAACACCAGUUCUCAUACAAUCACCAAAGUUAAGCAAUGUUGAGCCUGAUCAGUACCUAGAUGGGAGACCACUUGGGAAUACUAGGUGCUGUAA